rfam:TPA: Bos taurus chromosome 28, whole genome shotgun sequence.
UGGCUCAGACGGUAAAGCGUCUGUCUGCAACGCAGGAGACCGGGGUUCGAUCCCUG